rnacentral:piRNA from 1 species
UAAAAAUCUUACGAGGAUUUUUCUGGGCAG